UUAAAGGAAUUGACGGGGCCGCACAAGCGGUGGAGCAUGUGGUUAAUUCGAAGCAACGCGAAGUAACCUUACCAGGUCUUGACAUCCCGAUGCUAUUUCUAGAGAUAGAAAGUUACUUCGGUACAUCGGUGACAGGUGGUGCAUGGUUGUCGUCAGCUCGUGUCGUGAGAUGUUGGGUUAAGUCCCGCAACGAGCGCAACCCCUACGUUUAGUUGCUAACGCGUGAAGGCGAGCACUCUAGACGAACUGCCGUUGACAAAACGGAGGAAGGUGGGAUGACGUCAAAUCAUCAUGCCCCUUAUGUUCUGGGCUACACACGUGCUACAAUGGCCGGUACAGACGGAGGCGAAGCCGCGAGGCGGAGCAAAUCCGAAAAAGCCGGUCUCAGUUCGGAUUGCAGGCUGCAAUUCGCCUGCAUGAAGUCGGAAUCGCUAGUAAUCGCAGGUCAGCAUACUGCGGUGAAUACGUUCCCGGGCCUU
rnacentral:rRNA from 1 species